rnacentral:rRNA from 1 species
UACGGGGGGGGCAAGCGUUGUUCGGAAUUACUGGGCGUAAAGCGCACGUAGGCGGAUCGCUAAGUCAGGGGUGAAAUCCUGGAGCUCAACUCCAGAACUGCCUUUGAUACUGGCAAUCUCGAGUCCGGGAGAGGUGAGUGGAACUGCGAGUGUAGAGGUGAAAUUCGUAGAUAUUCGCAAGAACACCAGUGGCGAAGGCGGCUCACUGGCCCGGUACUGACGCUGAGGUGCGAAAGCGUGGGGAGCAAACAGGG